GAAUAAAAAUAGAAGUAAAACACAGAAACAAAGAAAAAUGGGCCAGUCUAUUAUUGGUUGUCCUGUGUGAAGCUCUGACUAUUUGUCGCCCAGUGUGUAAAAUAGAUGUUUUCCAGCUGCGUGGGCAGAUAAAUAAGUGGGCUGGCUUCGCUGGGCCACAGUGCGCGGCCCACGCACGAAAUUAUAGAAAGCCUUUGUUUUCUAGGAGACGAACGCAUAAGAAUUUAGUACCAUCUUGAAUAGAAAAAAAAUUCUUUUCCACGGUGAACGGAUGAAAAAAUUAGCGAAACGUACCUUGCUUUAUUAUUAAAUAGAAUAGAUAGAUAUAGAUAUAGAUAUAGAUAUCUAUCUAUCUAUAUCUAUACUUCUAUAUCUAUAUCUAUCUAUCUAUAUCUACUUAUAUAUACUUAUAUAUACUUAUACUAAUUACCGACUCCCAAGAAAUUCCCACGUUAACUAGAAAAUACUGACCGUUAAUUUGGUGGGACCAAAUUAUUAUGGUGUAGAUCAACUCACGUGAUAAUUGACAAAAAAAAAUACUCAUAGGGCCCACAAGAGAUAAAAACACGCUUAAAUCCUUUCACAUGGGUCAUGCAUGCGGCAGCCCAUAACAGAAUCACGGAAUCAAAAGGUUGAUUAACUUCCCUAAACAAAAGCUAGGUUCAUUAACUACAUAUGUAUUUUUUCGUGGUGAUUAACUACGUAUGUAACAUCCCAAUAAAAAAAUAAAAUGGCCAGGUUGUAAUAUGCCAAUAAAAAAAAGCGGCCAGGUUGUUAAAAAAAGAACGUAAUAUGCCUAGGAAGACUAGCACGCAACAAUCGGAUCUCACACCAUUGAACCUGCACUCAUCUAAAGAUUGCAAAGAAACUUUAAACACACAGACUCCCCAACCAGGUCUCGCCAAUCUUCCUUCUCACCAAAGCUCCUACAAUACUGCCCGAUCGAUCGAUCAUCUGAGGCUCUCCCCAAUCUUCCUCCUUGCCAUAUGCACAUGUUCUUCCUGUAACAUCUUCAUUUCUCGAUAUUCAUGCCCAAUCUUUGUUUCUUUGCUUUUCUGCUUCAUGUAUAUUGCGUAUUUCAUACGCUAUCAACUCAUCGCUCUGACCAAAAUAUUUUUGCACGUAUAUCUAAGAUUGAUCCAUCAACAUCACUUCCUGGCCGAUGAAUUUGGAAGUUUCAGCAGCGAAGGAAGAUGCGGUAGGGUACAGUAACGUCAAGCUCCAGUGCUAUUAACCAUGGAGCGUCUGGAAUUUGUAAUUUCCACAUUAUGAUAGCUUUUCCAACAUAAGGCCAUGAUCAUGUUGGACCUAUCUGGAACUUGACGUGGAUGGAGAAAGCUUUAUGACGAGAACCCAACAAACAGCCAGUUUUUUUGGCGAGCACUGAGAUAAGCCAGCAUAUCAACAUUAUCCUGAUUUGCUCCUUUAGCGUAUGAGAAGCGCACCGCGAGCAAGCCAUGGUCUAUUUCCAAGAAGGUGGCUAUAUAUGAUGUACCCAGCUUCAGGCCAGAGAUCAUUGCCCAAGUUUUCAUUAUCUACACCACGUUGGAUGUCCUUAAUGCAGUUAACCACGGAGGGAGUGCACUGAUAGUAGAUGGCAGACAUAAUACUUGAAUUUCAUACAUCACGACUGUAGGAUAACAUGGUAAAAUGGCUAAAGGAAAUAUCGGAAAGCAACUACACAUUACAUGUUAUGGAGUAUGCUCUUUGUUAUGGAACAAUAGGCUCCUACUAUGCCAUAUUAAAAAUAGAGAUAUUUGCAUAUUUGAGGGGGCUAUGGGCCUCAAAGGGUGAAAACAAAGGUUCUGAAUAAAGGAAUGCAAAGGAUCUCAGUGUAAUGCUCGAACAGACGAUAUAACUGAAGGUCUAGGUCAGCGAUGUUCCUCUGAGCCAAGAUCUCCUCGCACCAUGUCUCAAAUUAAAUAUCUUCUAUAUCAUUUGUUCUAAUUGUUCGACAUGCCAAGUAUCAUCAUUCCAUAACUGUUUGGGAUACAAGACUCAGCAAUGGAAUAGUUGGAUAUAUGCUAGCUUGGAUUGGCAGGUUCAAUUAAAAUCCAUAGUUUAAUUAAUUUUGCAUACCCUCUCGAUUGCAAAAUCAAGACGUUAUUGUGUUGCGAUGUGAGCAGAGCACGCUCGAGCUAUUUCGACCAUUGUUUUUAGAAUUGUUUGAGUGUAUAUGUUCAGUACUGGUGUUGUACUAUUUCAGUUCUAUUGCAGAGUAUGCCCUUCCUUUCCUGUCAUACUAAGGUCACCAGACCAAAUCUGAUGGGGGCCGUUCCAUCACAAACAUUUUAUACUUCACAUGUAGUGCUUUCUCCAUGAUUCUACCACGCAUGAAAUUGUUUCUUCUCUUUUCAUUGUACGUGAUUAUCCAUGUCACAAGGGCAAAGCUUAGUUCCAACAUGCAUAGGAACUACAACCUCCAUCCUAAAUUACUUAACUUAGAUUUGUCUAGAUACGGAUGUAUCUAGACACAUUUUUAGAUACAUCUGUAUCUAGACAAAUCUGA